rnacentral:lncRNA from 1 species
UAAAAGAGCAUGCUUCUAAUCUUCAAACUUCUUAGUUUAAAAAAAUGGCGAUAACCUUACAACAUUUUCCAGACUCUUGUCCAUACUGAAAAUGGUUCAUGCAUUAAGGAACACCACACAAAGUAUGGAAUCCAAAAAAACUAACAACAAGCGACAGUGACAUGGAUGGCUACCUUAUUGCUUUGGAAGUGGAUGGCAUGAGCCGUCGCUUAGAUGCACGAAACAGUCCCGACCAUGUACAGCUAGCCAAGAAACGUUGGGUCAAAACAAGGAGUUGGUACCUUGAGCAACGACGCCAUCGCGUUGACAUUUGCCCAACCCAACUGCUCAUGGCCAUCCUCGGCCACCACCUAUCCACCUGGACACACUCCUCUAGACCCAGGCGUUCUGAACGGCAUCCUCCCUGCUUCCCCAGCAUGAUGGCCGACUACCGUAACUUCUCUAGAGUGAAUCCUUCCAAAGGCGCUGCCGACAACAUCAUCCCUGUGGUGAUGCGUCUUCCUUCUUGUGCCUUUUGCUCCAUUGACCUCCUUCCUAUGAAAUUUCGGUAACAAGGUACAUUUCAGUAAUCAGUAAAAAAAUGCAGAUUUUAGUACAAGAGAAAUGAGCGUCUUGACAAAGGUUUAGUAGAAAUCAGAUUUCCGUACAACAAGAUAUUUUAGUACCUACUAAAAAGAAUAGUACAAGGGCAAUCAUCCGAACAAUAUCAUCAUAAGUAUGAACUAAACCUUUAGUCGCAGCAGGUACCUACUAAAUAGGAAGUGGAUGAUAUUCAUAUUACCCAUGUCAUCUCAAUAUCAUCAUAUGUUUAUUGUAGAAAAUCAUAAGCAUCAACACCACUACCUGGAAGACAUAUCUCCUAGCUUCUUUAUGAUUCAGAAUUCAACCCCAUGGAAGCUAAUAUGAAUAUCAUCUCAAGGAUCUAGAUAAAAUACCUGGAACAAAACUCAAUGAAGAACCAUAACAUCGAUCGAAACUAAACAUGAAAAUUUUGAACUCGCUGACUUUAUAUCAGUCUAGUAGUAAUAGUAGUACAAUCGCUGGUAGAAAAUGCAAUUCUCAACGUGCAUAUAGAUAUGCUAUUAUCUUGCUGCUAGAAAAUGUAGCGCUCAAGGUACAUAUAGAUAUGCCAUUGUCUUGCUGUGAAAUAGACUGCUUGGUUUGUUAGCUAGAUUAGGAAACCUAAGCUUUCCAACAAUUCCAAUCUGGAAGCACAAUCAGACCUCAUAGCCUUAAAGAUAAAUGAAAAGCAAUCAAACCAUUGGCGAGAACUUCUAAUUACGGCUCCGAGAGAACUCUAAUCCAUUUGUAAUUUGCCUAGAAAUAAAAUCAAUCAAACUGUAAUUUGCCUAGAAACAUGACCUCAAUGGCAUGCAUACCAUCACCUUUCAUAUCUUUUGUGGCAUUAAAUGAUUGUUGCAUUGUCUACGGAUGAGCCAAAAUUGCUAUGCCCCCAGUUCUACAAAUUAGAUGCACAAUAGAUUCCCCAUUCAGCCUAAUACCGCUGCAAAUGAACAAUAGAAAUCCACAUUAGUAAAUACAUCACGUCCCUGGUUAAGUAGUUAAUUUCAAGCCCAAAAAAUUAACACACUCCUGGCCAAC